CGUUCAAUUGAUAUUGCAAAGAAGCUGAUUGUUAAAAUAUAUUUUUCGUAGGAAAACCAAGAAGAUUCACAUUUCAGAGAAGAAGAUCUACCAAAAUGAUUUGGAUGACACUGGCUCAACGAGCUACUUUCGUUUGUUUCGAUUUGCCACAAAAUUGGAUGUCAUCUUAAUGCUCAUCGGUAUCAUUUUUACUUUAUUAAAAUCGAUGGCAAUGCCCAUAUUGAUCAUUGUCUAUGGAGAAUUCACAACAUUGCUGGUCGAUCGAACACUUGGGAUUGGAACAAGCUCAACAACAAUAUUCUUACCGUUAUUUGGUGGCGGAAAAGUGUUAACAAAUGCACCAGUGGAAGAAAAUCGCCAAGAAAUCAGAAACGAUUCCGUUGCCUAUGGUAUUCUAUUGGCACUAGCAUCACUAUUACACUUAAUAGCUGGCAUCGUAUGUGUUGAUUGCUUCAAUCAUACGGCG